GCUCAAGUGGCGGAACUGGUAGACGCGCUGCAUUCAGGGUGCAGUCUGAGUAUUCAGGUGGGGUUCGAGUCCCCCUCGAGCA
rnacentral:tRNA from 1 species